GGGUUGUGAGGUUAAGCGACUAAGCGUACACGGUGGAUGCCCUGGCAGUCAGAGGCGAUGAAGGACGUGCUAAUCUGCGAUAAGCGUCGGUAAGGUGAUAUGAACCGUUAUAACCGGCGAUUUCCGAAUGGGGAAACCCAGUGUGAUUCGUCACACUAUCAUUAACUGAAUCCAUAGGUUAAUGAGGCGAACCGGGGGAACUGAAACAUCUAAGUACCCCGAGGAAAAGAAAUCAACCGAGAUUCCCCCAGUAGCGGCGAGCGAACGGGGAGCAGCCCAGAGCCUGAAUCAGUGUGUGUGUUAGUGGAAGCGUCUGGAAAGGCGUGCGAUACAGGGUGACAGCCCCGUACACAAAAAUGCACAUAUUGUGAGCUCGAUGAGUAGGGCGGGACACGUGGUAUCCUGUCUGAAUAUGGGGGGACCAUCCUCCAAGGCUAAAUACUCCUGACUGACCGAUAGUGAACCAGUACCGUGAGGGAAAGGCGAAAAGAACCCCGGCGAGGGGAGUGAAAAAGAACCUGAAACCGUGUACGUACAAGCAGUGGGAGCACAGAGCAAUCUGUGUGACUGCGUACCUUUUGUAUAAUGGGUCAGCGACUUAUAUUCUGUAGCAAGGUUAACCGAAUAGGGGAGCCGAAGGGAAACCGAGUCUUAACUGGGCGUUAAGUUGCAGGGUAUAGACCCGAAACCCGGUGAUCUAGCCAUGGGCAGGUUGAAGGUUGGG
rnacentral:rRNA from 1 species